UUUCAAGGAGGCAACGGGGAUUCGACUUCCCCUGGGGGUA
rnacentral:tRNA from 14 species